rnacentral:tRNA from 7 species
GGGCGAUUAACUCAGCGGGAGAGUGCUACCUUCACACGGUAGAAGUCACUGGUUCGAACCCAGUAUCGCCCACCA